GAUGUUUGUGAAAUGUGUUUUCACAGUCUGAGAAGACUGAGAAGACCCAACCAUGACCUCAUCAAGUGC